CCUACGGGAGGCAGCAGUAGGGAAUCUUUCACAAUGGGCGCAAGCCUGAUGGAGCAACGCCGCGUGCAGGAUGAAGGCCUUCGGGUUGUAAACUGUUUUUAUAAGCGAGAAAUAUGAUGGUAACUUAUGAAUACCGAUCGGCUAACUACGUUCAAGCAGCAGCCGUCAUACGUAGGAUCCGAGCAUUAUCCGGAGUGACUGGGUGUAAAGAGUUGCGUAGGUGGCAUAAUAAGUAGCUAGUGAAAUCUGGUGUCUCAAGCAUUCAGACUAUUAGCUAAACUGUUAAGCUAGAGACCGUUAGGGGUAACUGGAAUGUCUAGUGUAGGAGUGAAAUCCGUAGAUAUUAGAAAGAACACCAAUAGCGUAGGCAGGUUACUGGGACGGGUCUGACACUAAGGCACGAAAGCGUAGGGAGCAAACGGGAUUAGAUACCCCAGUAGUC
rnacentral:rRNA from 1 species